AUGUACUUGCGCAUUGAUAGAUGUACUGCAAUUGCUGGGUCAUGGAGUAGGUAUGAGUUUAACUUUAUUAGAAAUUGCCAACAGUCCUCUAGAAUAGUUUUGAACAGUAACUACAGUUGCAAUUGUUCCACAGUCUUAUCAGCAUUUGGUGUACUAAUUCUUUUUAUAUAUAGCCAUGUUGGAAGGUGGGUAAUAUUAUCUCCUUAUAUUUUAAUUUGUAUUUCCCAAGUAAAUAAAAAUAUCAAGAAUAUAUAUAUAUAUAUUUUAAAGAUUUUAUUUAUUUAUUUAACAGAGAGAGAGAUCACAGUAGGCACAGAGGCAGAGGAGAAGGCAGUCUCCCCACUGAGCAGAGAGCCCGUUGCAGGGCUCCAUCCCAGAGCCCCAGGAUCGAUCCCAGGGCCCCAGGAUCAUGACCUGAGCCGAAGGCAGAGCCUUAACCCAUUGAGCCACCCAGGUGCCAGAGGUACACUCGGCUCAUUUCCUACAGCCGAAGUGUCUGUGGGUGCUCCUGCGCCGGGACCCUGCCCAUCGAGCUCCGCACCAGGCCCGAAAUUUCUCGCAGGUUCGUGGGCGACCGCCUGCCGAAGAAAUUCCACGCGGCGUAUAAUGCACCUCUAGCAUAGAAGAACGGUGGUCUUGCUCUCCUUGGAGACGUGUGUGUGUGUUCUGGUCCAUGGCUCCCUUUCCUUCAAUGGACAUUUAUCACAAGUGACUUGUAGAAUGGCAUUUGUACGAGUCCUCAAAUGCUGCAGAUUGAAAUCACUCAAAUAUCUAUCAUUUGUCUUUAGUUUUACGAUAAUAGGAUACUAGCAUCAUUAUCUUUAACACCAGAAUUAAAGUGUGACAAAUGCAAUAACAUGUAUAAAAACCAUAAUGUUGCUUGAUAAUGGCUAGAUAGAAAAAGUGCAUAUUCAUUCAUGUGAAUUUGAAGAAAGAACCAGGCUAAUCUGUGGGGGUAGACAUCAGAAUAGUUUAAAAUAGCAGGAAUGGAUAGCCAUUACCUGGAAAGUGUAUCAGAGAGCCAUACGUGCUUGGCUGAUAGAAAAUUUCUGUCUUAAUUGUGGUGAUAAUUGAACAUUUCAAUAUUUAAAUAGCUGUCCCUUAAUUAUUUGGGCAUUUUGUUCUGUGAACACACAUUGCUAUUUUCCUUUUCUAGGAUAAAAAUUAGCUAUUCAACGUUAAAGAGUCCAACGUAGACAAGGACAAUUCUGGAGUGUAUUGCAGACUCCAAAAUCUGCUCUUUUUUGUGUAAGAAAGUUUCACUCAUGUGUGAAAUAUUUCCACCAGAAAAGCCCCGAUAUGACCAGACCAUUUCCUUAGGGGAAGCGAUACACAGGACUUAUUGAGAGCUUGCACAUCACAUCUUUAUGAUGAAGUUCUAGAACCUAGGUGAGGUUUGGUGGGCUGAGGUCCGGAGCCGACGACCAAGAAAGAAUUCUUGAGACAUCUUUGGUGCAAA
rnacentral:lncRNA from 1 species